CAUUAAUCAGGAACGAAAGUUAGGGGAUCGAAGACGAUCAGAUACCGUCGUAGUCUUAACCAUAUACUAUGCCGACUAGGGAUCGGACGAUGUUAUUUUUUGACGCGUUCGGCACCUUACGAGAAAUCAAAGUGCUUGGGCUCCAGGGGGAGUAUGGUCGCAAGGCUGAAACUUAGAGAAAUUGACGGAAGGGCACCACCAGGGGUGGAGCCUGCGGCUUAAUUUGACUCAACACGGGGAAACUCACCAGGUCCAGACACAAUGAGGAUUGACAGAUUGAGAGCUCUUUCUUGAUUUUGUGGGUGGUGGUGCAUGGCCGUUCUUAGUUGGUGGAGUGAUUUGUCUGCUUAAUUGCGAUAACGAACGAGACCUUAACCUGCUAAAUAGCCCGUAUUGCUUUGGCAGUACGCCGGCUUCUUAGAGGGACUAUCGGCUCAAGCCGAUGGAAGUUUGAGGCAAUAACAGGUCUGUGAUGCCCUUAGAUGUUCUGGGCCGCACGCGCGCUACACUGACGGAGCCAGCGAGUACUCCCUUGGCCGGAAGGCCCGGGUAAUCUUGUUAAACUCCGUCGUGCUGGGGAUAGGGCA
rnacentral:rRNA from 1 species